UGUCUCCGUUCGGUCACACACUGUGUGCUUGAAGUUUGGACUUGCUAUUUACUCGCAAUUUAAAUCUUAAUCAUUAAGUUCUUCCUCAUUCGCUACGUAUUUGUCUCUCCUACUUAGGGUGACCAAACCCUUAAUACAUUUAUACAAACAAAACUGCUUUAAAAACGGAGAAGCAUCGAUGGAGGCGUUGGAGCUGGAGCUGGAAGAAGUGGAGUCCCAGAUCCGCGCGCUGGUGGCCCAGCGCACCCGGGGCGCGGCUCAGCCAGGCGUCGUUCACGCCGACACCCGGCUACCACGGCGCCUGGGUGCAGCCGCGCAAGGUGCUUCCCAGAUCCCGGGGCAGAACGUCUCCGCCUGUGUUCGAGAUCUCCACGGAGAACCGCUUCUCCCCGCUCCGCGAGUCGGGUCCGAUGUGGCCAUCAUCGGUGACUCGAUCGUUCGUCACGUCCGUGCCGCCUCCUCAAAAGGUAAUAAAGUACGUACUUUCUGCUUUCCUGGUGCCCGUGUGAAAAAUAUUUCUACACAGAUUCCAACCAUCCUGGGCGCUGCCGAGAGCCCUGGUG
rnacentral:lncRNA from 1 species